rnacentral:rRNA from 1 species
AACGAACGCUGGCGGCAUGCCUAACACAUGCAAGUCGAACGAGACCUUCGGGUCUAGUGGCGCACGGGUGCGUAACGCGUGGGAACCUGCCCUUAGGUUCGGAAUAACUCCCCGUAAGGGGUGCUAAUACCGGAUAAUGUCUUCGGACCAAAGAUUUAUCGCCUUUGGAUGGGCCCGCGUUGGAUUAGCUAGUUGGUAGGGUAAAAGCCUACCAAGGCGACGAUCCAUAGCUGGUCUGAGAGGAUGAUCAGCCACACUGGGACUGAGACACGGCCCAGACUCCUACGGGAGGCAGCAGUGGGGAAUAUUGGACACUGGGCGAAAGCCUGAUCCAGCAAUGCCGCGUGAGUGAUGAAGGGCUUAGGGUUGUAAAGCUCUUUUACCCGGGAUGAUAAUGACAGUACCGGGAGAAUAAGCUCCGGCUAACUCCGUG